rnacentral:rRNA from 1 species
AACGAACGCUGGCGGCGUGCCUAACACAUGCAAGUCGAACGGGAUCUUCGGGUCUAGUGGCGCACGGGUGCGUAACGCGUGGGAAUCUGCCCUUUGGUUCGGAAUAACAGUUGGAAACGACUGCUAAUACCGGAUGAUGACGAAAGUCCAAAGAUUUAUCGCCAGAGGAUGAGCCCGCGUAGGAUUAGCUAGUUGGUGUGGUAAAGGCGCACCAAGGCGACGAUCCUUAGCUGGUCUGAGAGGAUGAUCAGCCAAACUGGGACUGAGACACGGCCCAGACUCCUACGGGAGGCAGCAGUGGGGAAUAUUGGACAAUGGGCGAAAGCCUGAUCCAGCAAUGCCGCGUGAGUGAUGAAGGCCUUAGGGUUGUAAAGCUCUUUUACCCGGGAUGAUAAUGACAGUACCGGGAGAAUAAGCUCCGGCUAACUCCGUGCCAGCAGCCGCCGUAA